UACGUAGGGUCCGAGCGUUGUCCGGAAUUAUUGGGCGUAAAGAGCUUGUAGGCGGUUUGUCGCGUCUGCUGUGAAAAUCCGGGGCUCAACCCCGGACUUGCAGUGGGUACGGGCAGACUAGAGUGUGGUAGGGGAGACUGGAAUUCCUGGUGUAGCGGUGAAAUGCGCAGAUAUCAGGAGGAACACCGGCGGCGAAGGCGGGUCUCUGGGCCGUAACUGACGCUGGAGGAGCGAAAGCGUGGGGAGCGAACAGG
rnacentral:rRNA from 1 species